CGAACGUUAGCGGCAGGCUUAACACAUGCAAGUCGAGCGACAAGGGGCUUCGGCCCUGAGUAGAGCGGCGGACGGGUGCGUAACACGUGGAUAAUCUGCCUCGUGGCGGGGGAUAACAGUCCGAAAGGACUGCUAAUACCGCAUGUCAGGUCGGAAACCCCGGUUUCUGACGAAAAAGAGGGCGCCCGCAAGGGGCUCUCACCACGAGAUGAGUCCGCGGCCCAUCAGCUAGUUGGCGGUGUAAUAGACCACCAAGGCUAAGACGGGUAGCUGGUCUGAGAGGAUGACCAGCCACACUGGGACUGAGACACGGCCCAGACUCCUACGGGAGGCAGCAGUGGGGAAUAUUGGACAAUGGGCGAAAGCCUGAUCCAGCCAUGCCGCGUGAGUGAUGAAGGUCUUCGGAUCGUAAAGCUCUGUGGGAAGGGACGAAAAAGCCUAACCUAAUACGUUAGGUCUUGACGGUACCUUCUUAGCAAGCACCGGCUAACUCCGUGCCAGCAGCCGCG
rnacentral:rRNA from 1 species